UCUUCAAUUGAGAAUAUAAGUUGGUAUAUUAAGUCUUACUCAUGGUAUGAUGAUGCUUUUAACUUAUUGUAAAAGCAUGGAUUUUACAUUAAAAUAAUAUAAAGUUAUGAAUUCUAUAUACACUUUUUUUUUCUUCUGAAUAUGGCACUUGACAAAAA